rnacentral:rRNA from 1 species
GGGUUGUGAGGUUAAGCGACUAAGCGUACACGGUGGAUGCCUAGGCAGUCAGAGGCGAUGAAGGGCGUGCUAAUCUGCGAAAAGCGUCGGUAAGCUGAUAUGAAGCGUUAUAACCGACGAUACCCGAAUGGGGAAACCCAGUGCAAUUCGUUGCACUAUUGCAUGGUGAAUACAUAGCCAUGCAAGGCGAACCGGGGGAACUGAAACAUCUAAGUACCCCGAGGAAAAGAAAUCAACCGAGAUUCCCCCAGUAGCGGCGAGCGAACGGGGAAGAGCCCAGAGUCUGAAUCAGUUUGUGUGUUAGUGGAAGCGUCUGGAAAGUCGCACGGUACAGGGUGAUAGUCCCGUACACCAAAACACACUUGCUGUGAACUCGAUGAGUAGGGCGGGACACGUGACAUCCUGUCUGAAUAUGGGGGGACCAUCCUCCAAGGCUAAAUACUCCUGACUGACCGAUAGUGAACCAGUACCGUGAGGGAAAGGCGAAAAGAACCCCGGCGAGGGGAGUGAAAUAGAACCUGAAACCGUGUACGUACAAGCAGUGGGAGCCUACUUUGUUGGGUGACUGCGUACCUUUUGUAUAAUGGGUCAGCGACUUAUAUUUUGUAGCAAGGUUAACCGAAUAGGGGAGCCGUAGGGAAACCGAGUCUUAACUGGGCGUCUAGUUGCAAGGUAUAGACCCGAAACCCGGUGAUCUAGCCAUGGGCAGGUUGAAGGUUGGGUAACACUAACUGGAGGACCGAACCGACUAAUGUUGAAAAAUUAGCGGAUGACUUGUGGCUGGGGGUGAAAGGCCAAUCAAACCGGGAGAUAGCUGGUUCUCCCCGAAAGCUAUUUAGGUAGCGCCUCGUGAACUCAUCUUCGGGGGUAGAGCACUGUUUCGGCUAGGGGGUCAUCCCGACUUACCAAACCGAUGCAAACUCCGAAUACCGAAGAAUGUUAUCACGGGAGACACACGGCGGGUGCUAACGUCCGUCGUGAAGAGGGAAACAACCCAGACCGCCAGCUAAGGUCCCAAAGUCAUGGUUAAGUGGGAAACGAUGUGGGAAGGCAUAGACAGCCAGGAUGUUGGCUUAGAAGCAGCCAUCAUUUAAAGAAAGCGUAAUAGCUCACUGGUCGAGUCGGCCUGCGCGGAAGAUGUAACGGGGCUAAACCAUGCACCGAAGCUGCGGCAGCGACACUUAGGUGUUGUUGGGUAGGGGAGCGUUCUGUAAGCCGUUGAAGGUGACCUGUGAGGGUUGCUGGAGGUAUCAGAAGUGCGAAUGCUGACAUAAGUAACGAUAAUGCGGGUGAAAAACCCGCACGCCGGAAGACCAAGGGUUCCUGUCCAACGUUAAUCGGGGCAGGGUGAGUCGACCCCUAAGGCGAGGCUGAAAAGCGUAGUCGAUGGGAAACAGGUUAAUAUUCCUGUACUUGGUGUUACUGCGAAGGGGGGACGGAGAAGGCUAGGCUAGCCGGGCGACGGUUGUCCCGGUUUAAGCAUGUAGGCGGAGCGACUUGGUAAAUCCGGUUGCUUAUCAACGCUGAGGUGUGAUGACGAGCCACUACGGUGGUGAAGUAGUUGAUGCCAAGCUUCCAGGAAAAGCCUCUAAGCAUCAGGUAACAUUAAAUCGUACCCCAAACCGACACAGGUGGUCAGGUAGAGAAUACUCAGGCGCUUGAGAGAACUCGGGUGAAGGAACUAGGCAAAAUGGUGCCGUAACUUCGGGAGAAGGCACGCUGGCAUUAGGUAAUGGGACUUGCUCCCGGCGCCGAAGCCAGUCGCAGAUACCAGCUGGCUGCAACUGUUUAAUAAAAACACAGCACUGUGCAAACACGAAAGUGGACGUAUACGGUGUGACGCCUGCCCGGUGCUGGAAGGUUAAUUGAUGGGGUCAGCCGCAAGGCGAAGCUCUUGAUCGAAGCCCCAGUAAACGGCGGCCGUAACUAUAACGGUCCUAAGGUAGCGAAAUUCCUUGUCGGGUAAGUUCCGACCUGCACGAAUGGCGUAAUGAUGGCCAGGCUGUCUCCACCCGAGACUCAGUGAAAUUGAACUCGCUGUGAAGAUGCAGUGUACCCGCGGCAAGACGGAAAGACCCCGUGAACCUUUACUAUAGCUUGACACUGAACAUUGAGCCUUGAUGUGUAGGAUAGGUGGGAGGCAUCGAAGUGUGGACGCCAGUCUGCAUGGAGCCAACCUUGAAAUACCACCCUUUAAUGUUUGAUGUUCUAACUCGGCCCCGUGAUCCGGGGUGAGGACAGUGUCUGGUGGGUAGUUUGACUGGGGCGGUCUCCUCCCAAAGAGUAACGGAGGAGCACGAAGGUUAGCUAAUCACGGUCGGACAUCGUGAGGUUAGUGCAAAGGCAUAAGCUAGCUUGACUGCGAGAGUGACGGCUCGAGCAGGUACGAAAGUAGGUCUUAGUGAUCCGGUGGUUCUGAAUGGAAGGGCCAUCGCUCAACGGAUAAAAGGUACUCCGGGGAUAACAGGCUGAUACCGCCCAAGAGUUCAUAUCGACGGCGGUGUUUGGCACCUCGAUGUCGGCUCAUCACAUCCUGGGGCUGAAGUAGGUCCCAAGGGUAUGGCUGUUCGCCAUUUAAAGUGGUACGCGAGCUGGGUUUAGAACGUCGUGAGACAGUUCGGUCCCUAUCUGCCGUGGGCGUUGGAAGAUUGAGAGGGGCUGCUCCUAGUACGAGAGGACCGGAGUGGACGAAUCACUGGUGUUCGGGUUGUCAUGCCAAUGGCAUUGCCCGGUAGCUAAAUUCGGAAGAGAUAACCGCUGAAAGCAUCUAAGCGGGAAACUUGCCUCGAGAUGAGUCUUCCCUGGGGCUUUAAGCCCCCUGAAGGAACGUUAAAGACUAUGACGUUGAUAGGCUGGGUGUGUAAGUGCAGCGAUGCAUUGAGCUAACCAGUACUAAUGAUCCGUGAGGCUUAACCUUACAACACCAAAGGUGUUUUAG